UCCCUGGUGGUCCAGUGGUUAGGACUUGGGGCUUUCACUGCCAUGGCCCAGGUUCAAUCCCUGGUCAGGGAA
rfam:TPA: Bos taurus chromosome 14, whole genome shotgun sequence.